rnacentral:misc_RNA from 1 species
AGAAGAAGCUGAAAAUUCUUCUUUCUCUCUUUGCUCUCAACACAAUUACUCUUUAUCUCUACUUCUCUUCACACCCAGAUCAUUUCCGCCACAAUUUCCCUAAAAACCACUAUAUUACUACCGGAAACCGCUUUUCUUCAUCGGAAAACCAUCCAAAUUUGCACUCCUCCGUUGCUUCCCAAUCCAAACCAUGGCCUAUUUUGCCGUCUUACCUCCCUUGGUCUCAGAACCCCAACGUUGGUUGGAGAUCGUG